rnacentral:rRNA from 1 species
GAUGAACGCUGGCGGCGUGCUUAACACAUGCAAGUCGAACGAUGAAGCCCAGCUUGCUGGGUGGAUUAGUGGCGAACGGGUGAGUAACACGUGAGUAACCUGCCCUUAACUCUGGGAUAAGCCUGGGAAACUGGGUCUAAUACCGGAUAGGAGCGUCCACCGCAUGGUGGGUGUUGGAAAGAUUUUUCGGUUUUGGAUGGACUCGCGGCCUAUCAGCUUGUUGGUGAGGUAAUGGCUCACCAAGGCGACGACGGGUAGCCGGCCUGAGAGGGUGACCGGCCCCCCUGGGACUGAGAGACGGCCCAGACUCCUACGGGAGGCAGCAGUGGGGAAUAUUGCACAAUGGGCGCAAGCCUGAUGCAGCGACGCCGCGUGAGGGAUGACGGCCUUCGGGUUGUAAACCUCUUUCAGUAGGGAAGAAGCGAAAGUGACGGUACCUGCAGAAGAAGCACCGGCUAACUACGUG